rnacentral:rRNA from 1 species
AUUGAACGCUGGCGGCAGGCCUAACACAUGCAAGUCGAGCGGUAGAGAGGUGCUUGCAUCUCUUGAGAGCGGCGGACGGGUGAGUAAUGCCUAGGAAUCUGCCUAGUGGUGGGGGAUAAACGUUCGGAAACGGACGCUAAUACCGCAUACGUCCUACGGGAGAAAGCGGGGGAUCUUCGGACCUCGCGCCAUUAGAUGAGCCUAGGUCGGAUUAGCUAGUUGGUGAGGUAAUGGCUCACCAAGGCGACGAUCCGUAACUGGUCUGAGAGGAUGAUCAGUCACACUGGAACUGAGACACGG